rnacentral:tRNA from 1 species
GGGCAGGUACCGAAGUGGCCAAACGGGGCAGACUGUAAAUCUGCUGGCUCUGCCUUCGGGGGUUCGAAUCCCUCCCUGCCCACCA